UCCAUUCCUACCCAUAAUUAAAAGAGUUGAAAGAUCUCUUCUCUCUCUCUCUCUCUCUCUCAAGUUCACUAUUUAAUGGUAUUAGAAGUACUCCAACAUCAACGAGAAUGCCAAACCUUCGUCGACGGUGGGAUAGGUAUAUGUUCUCAGAGUCCUUAGCAAAUCUUCCUACUGUUGCCCCGCCGACUCUCUGUUUCUCCAUUUGAACGGCAGUUUAAUUUCCUUCAACUUAUAUACAAGACAGGUUAAAAUAUUACGCAAAUUUAAGGUUGUGUUUUUUUCAAACAUGAGCCGGAGGGAGGAUAGUCCAAAACUGGGAUUGGAGCUCAACUUGUCACCACCAAGGGUAAACACACCGGUUGAGUCGCCAAAUGUUUCGACUUCUUCUUCUUCAUCGGAUAUGUCGGUUGAGGGCUCAUGCGUUUCAUCGGAGCCUGAGGAGUCGACAGUGUACUCCCCCAGAAACCACCUGGAAGUCCAAUCGAUGAUGCUCGUAGGUUGUCCUCGAUGCCUCAUGUACGUCAUGUUAUCCCACGUAGAUCCAAAAUGCCCGAAAUGCAAGAGCACCGUCCUGCUGGAUUUCCUCAAAGAAGAAAACACAAACACCAACAAGACAAGGAACUGAUCGAGGACUACUCUUUGUUCUUCAUGGAGGAUUGAGGAACUGCUUAAUUAAUUCUCGAUGCUAGCUUGCUUGAUCAUUUGGCCUUUGCCUAGCCUCUUUUCUCUCUCUCUCUCUCUCUCUCUCUCUCUAAUGUUGUUGUUCUUUUGGGAAUUUUGGUGGCCUUUCAGACGAAGGAAAUAAACAGAAGAAAUGAUUUUGGGUUCGCACAACUUUGUAGGAUUAAUUAAUAUACGUUUUCAUAUAUAAAACUAGAUUGUGAAUUUUCAUUUU